rnacentral:rRNA from 1 species
CACGUAGUUGGCCGGUGCUUCUUCUGUACCUACCGUCACUUGCGCUUCGUCGGUACUGAAAGAGGUUUACAACCCGAAGGCCGUCAUCCCUCACGCGGCGUUGCUGGAUCAGGCUUCCGCCCAUUGUCCAAUAUUCCCCACUGCUGCCUCCCGUAGGAGUCUGGGCCGUGUCUCAGUCCCAGUGUGGCCGGUCACCCUCUCAGGCCGGCUACCCGUCGAAGCCUUGGUAGGCCAUUACCCCACCAACAAGCUGAUAGGCCGCGAGCACAUCCCCCACCGAAAAAACUUUCCACCAGCACCACAUGCGUGGACCGGUCAUAUCGGGUAUUAGCCACCGUUUCCGGAGGUUAUCCCCAAGUGAAGGGCAGAUUACUCACGUGUUACUCACCCGUUCGCCGCUCGAGUACCACCGAAAUGGCCUUUCCGCUCGACUUGCAUGUGUUAAGCACGCCGCCAGCGUUCGUCCUGAGCCAGGAUCAAACUCU